rnacentral:rRNA from 1 species
GAUGAACGCUGGCGGCGUGCCUAAUACAUGCAAGUCGAGCGAACAGACGAGGAGCUUGCUCCUCUGACGUUAGCGGCGGACGGGUGAGUAACACGUUGAUAACCUACCUAUAAGACUGGGAUAACUUCGGGAAACCGGAGCUAAUACCGGAUAAUAUAUUGAACCGCAUGGUUCAAUAGUGAAAGACGGUUUUGCUGUCACUUAUAGAUGGAUCCGCGCCGCAUUAGCUAGUUGGUAAGGUAACGGCUUACCAAGGCGACGAUGCGUAGCCGACCUGAGAGGGUGAUCGGCCACACUGGAACUGAGACACGGUCCAGACUCCUACGGGAGGCAGCAGUAGGGAAUCUUCCGCAAUGGGCGAAAGCCUGACGGAGCAACGCCGCGUGAGUGAUGAAGGUCUUCGGAUCGUAAAACUCUGUUAUUAGGGAAGAAAAAAUGUGUAAGUAACUAUGCACGUCUUGACGGUACCUAAUCAGAAAGCAACGGCUAACUACGUG